CGGGGUGCAGCAGGCGCGAAAACUUUACAAUGCGGGAAACCGUGAUAAGGGGACACCGAGUGCCAGCAUCAUAUGCUGGCUGUCCGGGUGUGUAAAAUACACCUGUUAGCGAGGGCCGGGCAAGACCGGUGCCAGCCGCCGCGGUAACACCGGCGGCCCGAGUGGUGAUCGUGAUUAUUGGGUCUAAAGGGUCCGUAGCCGGUUUGGUCAGUCCUCCGGGAAAUCUGACGGCUCAACCGUUAGGCUUUCGGGGGAUACUGCCAGGCUUGGAACCGGGAGAGGUAAGAGGUACUACAGGGGUAGGAGUGAAAUCUUGUAAUCCCUGUGGGACCACCUGUGGCGAAGGCGUCUUACCAGAACGGGUUCGACGGUGAGGGACGAAAGCUGGGGGCACGAACCGGAUUAGAUACCCGGGUAGUCCCAGCCGUAAACGAUGCUCGCUAGGUGUCAGGCAUGGCGCGACCGUGUCUGGUGCCGCAGGGAAGCCGUGAAGCGAGCCACCUGGGAAGUACGGCCGCAAGGCUGAAACUUAAAGGAAUUGGCGGGGGAGCACAAGGGCGAUUCG
rnacentral:rRNA from 1 species